UACGUAGGGGGCAAGCGUUGUCCGGAAUUAUUGGGCGUAAAGCGCGUGUAGGCGGCUCGGUAAGUCUGCUGUGAAAGUCCAAGGCUCAACCUUGGAAAGCCGGUGGAUACUGUCGAGCUCGAGUCCGGUAGGGGAGUGGGGAAUUCCUGGUGUAGCGGUGAAAUGCGCAGAUAUCAGGAGGAACACCGGUGGCGAAGGCGCCACUCUGGGCCGGUACUGACGCUGAGGAGCGAAAGCGUGGGUAGCAAACAGG
rnacentral:rRNA from 1 species